GGCAGCACAACUCCAUGUCUGGUUGAUGGGCAGAGAAAGUGGGCAGCUUGCCAGGUAGACGUUUCCAUGGCUCCCAACCCCCAAAGGUGAUGCAUUUUUCAGCUAAUUCAAUGAAGAGUGGGCUGAACUUUGGGUAUAAACUAGACAAUAGCUGCCUUCGCAGUAUCAGCAGAAUGGUUUAUGGGAAUGCACUCUACAUUUGGCAGAAAAAAACCAUGUGACCUUACGGCUGAGAUUUUGCGAUGGUGCCAAUGGAGACUUAGAAAGCUGCACCCAUCCUGACUCGUUUCUUAUAUGAGCUCAGAAAAUGGUGGAUCUUAAUACUUGACUUUAAGCAGACUCAGAAAGCAGUCAGAGCCUCGGAGCACAACUUUGCCUUUAUUCUAUCUUUUUUUUGGCAGGCCACCAGGAGGCUGUCCCUUUCACGCCUGAUAAAGUCUGUUGCUUAUCUCUCCAAAUAGAUGAGAGGGGAUGAGAAAACCUAAACCGAAUAUUUAGGAUUUAAAAACUGCUUUUGAGAAGGACAACUUCUAAAGCGGGAUGUUUUUGUAGUUUACGACAGCCCUUCUGAUCAUCUGAAGAAUAAAAGUUACUAGUGUUUUAAUGAACAGGCGUUUGAGCUGGACAAACCCGACAGCAUUGAACAUGAGAUCAUUGCGAACACAGUGUAACCAAUUGGCACCCUGCCUUUUUGCCCCUUUGCUUCGGCAGAUUUGUGAAAUCCUCAUUUAUAAAAUCAGCACAGGGGUUCAAUGACUUUUUAUCCUGCUUUCUUCUGCUUCUGGUCCUACACAGGAGAUUGUCACAAGGAUUGGUGCAAUUUUUGCGCAGUGCUGUGUGCCUGGAAUUCCAAGAAGAAGAAAAAUGAAGACAGACUUCCUGGUCCUUACUCUUGGAUAUAGCAGAAGUCAAGGAAGAUACAAAAUCUGAGUUUGUUGUCCGUGCCAGAGUCUGGAAGAAAGUCAAUUGACUUGUUCACAAAAAUAAUAAGCAACUGGCAUGUCUAACAACAGGAGCUUUCAGGAUGAGUUAGGGCUUCAUAGGACAUAACUAAAUAAGCUGAAACAAUUGAUGUAUUUAAAAGUGAUUUUAUUAUUGCUUUAAAUAACAUGUUGCACUGGGUGAUAAAGCACCUUUCCAAACAGUGCUAUGAAAAAUUUAAAUGGAAAAGAAAAAUGAAGAAUUUGGUCUUGUAAGAACUGAAUGAAGCUGAACUGCACCUUGAAGACAGGCAUGAAUGGGUUAUAUACACCAGACUCUCCUUCAGUGGCCAGAACCUGAAUGGCUGCUGAUUCUUUGGCUCUUCUGCCGAACAUCAUGGAUCUGUUCCUAAAGUAGACAUUUUCUUUUCCAUCUCGCAAAUGCAACUAACAUGCCAGAGAAGGGGGGAUGUGAAUCUUUUCUGCAUUGUGGUUGUGUCGUUAAAAGUCUUCACCUUUAAAAAAACAAAAUAAUUUGGGGAAGAAUCAGUUUUUCUAACUGUAUGGAGAAUAUUUUGAAAGUUCAAAUGUGGUUCAAGUGAUCCGGCACAGAAUGACAAGUUGCUGAAAGUCACUGUGUACAACAAUUUAGGAAGUGAAAAACAGAGCAUUCAGAAGGCAGAAGCUUCUUUCAUAUUAGUCAACAGAUAAAAUAUUCAGUUUGGGGAUGAGGAAAAAGCUUGAAUUGUGCUCAAAGGGUAUUCUUGCUCUAGAAUGGCUUAGAAGUGCCAAAUGUGUUAGGGCCCACAGUAACAAUGGUACUGGAUAUAUAAUGCUGAACUGUUUAAUCUUUGUUUAAGCCACUGGAACAAGCUGAAGGACACUGUACAAUUCUGCUUGGAGCAGAUUUUAACCUGCUUUUAGUCUCCUUACUUUUUCUGCAUGCACAACUUUGAUAGCCUUCUAGAAUGGAGUUUUGAAUUUCCUAGGAAUCUCUUGCUCAUGCAACUGAAAGCCUAUUUUGACAGUCUUCGUGCUACCUAUUCAUGUUAUAUCUUCCAAAUCUCCUGCAAGAGGUGUUUUAUAAAACAACAAAAACCAUUCUGAUUAAUUGAAGAAGAAUUCAACUGGAUCUUUUCGGACUUUUCCUAGUCCCUGAGACCCUAACUUGUGAGGUUUUUUAGCAACAAUCACAAGUCAGGCUCUUGGGACCUAGGCGGAGGGGAACCAGCAGCUUUGGACUUAUUGAUUAAUGUAUCUACAAUACUGAUAGCAUAAAAAUACAUUUGCCUGUGGGGGAGGUGGGUGAAAUGACAAUCAGAUGUUUUGGCCUAUAAAAAAUGAUUAUUGCAGAGUACAUAUGAUGUUAUGUAAUCUUUAAUUUUGUAUAUUUAUAUACCUACCUAUAUUGUACCAUACUCUUAAUGUUUUGAAUUAAUGUGCGGAAUUGAUUGAAAUCUGGAGAAUAAAACAGCUUUGUUUUUA